rnacentral:rRNA from 1 species
GACGAACGCUGGCGGCGUGCUUAACACAUGCAAGUCGAACGAGAAUCUACGGAUCGAGGAUUCGUCCAAGUGAAGUAGAGGACAGUGGCGGACGGGUGAGUAACGCGUGAGGAACCUGCCUUUCAGAGGGGGACAACAGUUGGAAACGACUGCUAAUACCGCAUGACACAUUGGGGUCGCAUGGCCCUGAUGUCAAAGAUUUAUCGCUGAAAGAUGGCCUCGCGUCUGAUUAGCUAGUUGGUGAGGUAACGGCCCACCAAGGCGACGAUCAGUAGCCGGACUGAGAGGUUGACCGGCCACAUUGGGACUGAGAUACGGCCCAGACUCCUACGGGAGGCAGCAGUGGGGAAUAUUGGGCAAUGGGCGCAAGCCUGACCCAGCAACGCCGCGUGAAGGAAGAAGGCUUUCGGGUUGUAAACUUCUUUUGUCAGGGACGAGUAGAAGACGGUACCCGACGAAUAAGCCACGGCUAACUACGUGCCAGCAGCCGCGGUAAUACGUAGGUGGCAAGCGUUGUCCGGAUUUACUGGGUGUAAAGGGCGUGUAGCCGGGAAGGCAAGUCAGAUGUGAAAUCCACGGGCUCAACUCGUGAACUGCAUUUGAAACUGUUUUUCUUGAGUAUCGGAGAGGCAAUCGGAAUUCCUAGUGUAGCGGUGAAAUGCGUAGAUAUUAGGAGGAACACCAGUGGCGAAGGCGGAUUGCUGGACGACAACUGAC